CAGCUAAGACCGUCCCAAGAUGGCGCCCGGUGCUACUCCUGUGGCCGAGUCCGAAGACCACAAAAUGUGUAAAUCUAAGAGUUUAGCGGAUUUUUUACCGCAACACUCGUACUGGUUCGACUUCUGGACCUUCAUCCUCUUCGACAUAGUGCUCUUCCUCUUCGUUUAUUUUAUAGUUCCGUAGAAAAAGACUUGGCUGAUCCGAUGUGACGAUGUUAAAGACGUGAAGAGCCGGACCGCUCCCGCUUCGAGGAUCAAACUCCAGCUUUGCCUGACUUUGAACUGUUUAUGAAACCCUCCAAAACAAGAACCAUCUCCUCCAUCACACCACACACGACCUUCCUCCUCUCCUGGGACGCUCUUGGACUCUCUCUCCUUCUGUUGGUGGAUUUCAGAUUCUAGGAUGAGCUCAUGUCUUACUGUCAGAUGGGGGCAAGAGGUAGUUUUUCCUAAUUAUAACUUUAUUUUCUGUUUUUGACAAGAAGAGCUCGCUGUAUUGUAACAAAAGUCUGCAUCUUAAUAUUUAUUUUCGCUGCCCUCGUCUGUAUCAAAUGUUACUGGCCAAGCGAUUGCCGUCGUUGUCAUCUGAAGCACUUUGGGUUUAAAAAUGUCAAAUUUUACUGUAAAAAAAUGAUUUGAAUCGAUCCUAAAGGGUUGAUUCAGACGACCAAAAACCUCAACUUUCAAAUGAAGACUUCCCUAAUCCAGUCUGUAACGUUUUCUGCAUUUUCCUUUUUGCGAUUUUGAUUUGUCUGACGGGAAGAAAUGCCUGUCCUCUGUAAUUACCAAAGUAACAUGAAUUACUUAUAGAAAAAUCUGUAAAUGAUUUAACAAUGAUCAAUAGCUAUCAAUAGUUUCCUCUAUCUUCACAGUUUUAUUGUUGCUGCGCAGAAGAGACCAAAACAAAAGUAUUAAUAAAAUUGUACAGCCUUUUGAAA